rnacentral:piRNA from 1 species
AGCAAGAUGAAUUGUAUCUCUGUUUGAGCCU